CACCUGAAGGAAUGAUGGAAAAAAGGGUUUAAGAUGACAAAUAAUAUUGUGCAGUACUAUCUAAAAGUCUUAGAAGAGUAAAAUUAAUGGCAUCCCAUCACUCUUGUUUGACUUUGAUGUAUAGUUUCUAGGGAUGAUGAACUCAACCACUGCACACUUUUAAAAUUACCUCCAUAUCUCCUGGUUUUCCCUGUUGCCAGGGAGGAUGUGUGCAUUAAAUCCAAGGUCACACUCUCCUAUUUUCUCUUAUGGUCCAACCCUUUUUUAAAAAAAUGAUUGUAAUCACUUACAUUUGCUUUAAAGAGAGAUCUACCAUGAUGGCACGGACACAAAUGUGUGUGUCGUGUGAAGAGAGAGGAGAAAUACGUCGGGGUGGUGGCUUUAGUGGUGGACGGUCAUGAUGCACCAACAGAGUCCAGUCACAAAAAGUUCUGUUCUGGCAUCUUAAGCAUCAUUCUUUAGAAGUUUGGGUUCAGCUUCCCUGGAGAUGGAGGUGUCGGUACAAAACCCCAUGGUUCCAGGGUUAUCCCCGUGUCAGAGUGACUGGUACCAGUCCUGGAGACUGGGUCAAGUGCAAACACACUUUUAGAGUAUUUAAUUCAGUUAUCAUCUUAACUUCUCCUUCCUCACUAGGGUCAUGGGGAGCUGCUGUCCAACUCCAGCAGACACCAGGCGAGAGGGCGGUGGACAACCUGGACAUGUCUCUAGUCCUUCACAUGGACAGUCAUCCACUUACUCACUCACACUGAGGUCUCCAGUUAACUUAACAUGCGGGGGGAGGGGGGGUAAACUUUAAAGAAUGCUAAUGUCCCAUUUAUUAUCAAUCUAGCUACUAAAAAGCAAUAAAAAUACAUUUAAACAUAUAUUUCUAAUUAUCUUCAUGCCUCAUUUAUGCAGCGAUACAAAACCAGCCCUGUAAUAAAAAAAUGAGAGGCUAGCCAUGAAAACAGGUGAAAGAACCACGCAUGCAUGAGGGGGAACGUGCUAACUCCAGCCAGAACCUGUGAGGGUACUGUGGACCUCGGCCCGUUUGACGUGUUUUUAUGUUUCAUCUUUCUUUUCAUGUUCCACACCAUAUUUGUUCUCAUCGUGUGUUUAGUGGUUGUGUUCAGUCUGCUGAUAAGGUCGUGGAAGGUACUUUAUAAAUAAAGUAGGGCUGCACAAUGUAUCUCAAAUAUAUCGUUAUCGCGAUAUCAGCAUGCGCAAUAUGCAUAUCGCAAAGAACAGAUAAAUAUCGUAAUGAAUGGUCAGCUCAACUGUUUGCUACACAUAAUGCAUUCUGUCAAUCAAACGGAAGCAUGAUGUUUUUUUUUAACAAAUCAAAUACAGCUCUUCACCCAUUUGGCCAAUUGGGUGGGUUCUCAUAGGUUAGAUGCCCGCCCCCGACACUUAAUUUUGAUGGUUAGCAAACACCAGAGUUAGCUUUGUUCUGCUUUUUCUGCUGAUCCUGCUUCUUGUUCAUUUUCUUUUUCCCUUUCCUCACAUCUUUAGCUUUUCUCAUUUUUAUGAUUUUUGUCACUUUUUUGUUUUUUUGCUUUUGAUUAUUUUUGUUCCUGAAUGAAGUUUAUAUUUAUCGCAAGUAAUAUCGUCAUCGCGAUAUUAUCGUAAUCAUUGUUAUCACACAUCGCAGGUUUUCCUAAUAUCGUGCAGCCCUAAAAUAAAUGAACUCAACUGACCUUUUUGGAGUAUUUAAUAUGCAAAAAGUCAGUCCCAGUGGCAACCUCAAAGGGACUAGAGGACCAGAAACAGCCUCUGACCUGCUUGCCUCCCCUCACUGGGGCCUGCAGGUGCAGUUCUUAAAGAGCAGGAGCUCAGAUUAAGGUAAAAAAUGAGAUUCUGAAUCUCUUCUGCAGCUUUGAUGUGUUUUAUUAGCUGUUAAACAGAUGAAUGAGAUUUUUUUUGUUCUAACCAUUUUUUAGGUAUUUGUUCUUUUAAUAAAUUAUGUUUUUGUUUGUUUAUAGAAGUUUAUUAAAUAAAGUUUGCCAAUUUCCUGAAUCCAUCUGGUGAAUGACAAGGAAGAGGCUGAACCUUGUCAGAAUGGGUGACUUUCUACACGGCAAACAGAUCUGCGACACCUUCCUCCCGUAUGAAAUCACUGAGGUGGAAAAAGAGGGUAGAAUCUGAGUCAUCACCGUCGCGCCUCAUCCUAGCAGCAGAGGUGAAGCUGGCGAGCAGGUAUGUGCACCGCCAUCAUCUGCAGAGGCUCCAGACACUGGACCACCCAGCCGUGCCUCUCACUGACCCGAGCCGUCUCCACAUUCAGGAAGGUAUUCGGCAUCCGGCUCCAGAGCACAGCCACGAUGGUCUGCACAUCCAGUCGAGGCGGACACUGAGGAACCGGGUUCCUCGACUCACUCCUGAAUAUGGCCGACGACAGCGGCAUUGCAUCCUGGGGAGUCAGAAUAAACUCAAACAAAUGCUAAUGUUCCAUUCAUCAUCAAUCCAGCUUCUACGAAGCAACAACACACUUGCAAUGCUUUUUUCUUAUUUUAAUUCAUGCACUGAUGUACAGCCUGUAAUAAAAAGGGCUGUCGUUUAAAGUUGUGGAGGGAAACAAACCUUUAUCUUAACAAAUUCAAACUGGAAGAGGUUUGAACUGGUGGGGGACGCAAACACGGCAGGGAAGAGUUUGGUGUUCGGCUCCACCUGGAAACCAAAUCCAACAGUUCACAUAAAUCAGUUCUCAAAGGUCAAUGCAUCACACAUAUCUGUAAAAAUGUUACCUAGUUUGUCGAUGAUGCAGAUCACAGGGAAAAGAGAAGAGAAGAAAGUGAGCUUUAUUAUAGUAAUAAGGUUAAAAGCUGCUGUGUUUGACAAAAGCUGAAUAAAUAAAAGAGUAUUACAAAAACAAGACUAAAGGAGAGAUGAAAGAAGCAGACACGGGGGUAAAAGUGAUGCAAUGCCUUAAAAAUGAAAGAGUAAUCGUCUUCUGUUUGAAUUCUGCUGCCAAAAUGAGAACAUUUCCCUCAUUUUAAAGACCAAAAGAGAACAAGUAAAAUGUGCUGCUAUGUUUUUCUGCUGCAUCAUUUGUUAAGCGAGUCUGUUUUGUGCUCUUAAAGCGUUGUUCAUCCAAGAAGUUAAAGUUACAGCUCAGCUAUAAACAAGGUAACUAGAGGUUUUGAUAAAUUACUAAGAAAAAUGUGUUUAUUGGAUGCCAGUUUGUUUGUGUAGAAGACUUACCUGAUAAGAGAUGGGCAGCUCCUUGCCGUUGGCAGUAAAGGAGACGAGGCCGGUGGCCAGGUCGACCAGACAGCCGAUCUCCAGGUCCGAGUUGGAGUGGCUGGAGGAAGACAAACUGACGGCGUCUGCUGCACACACCAUGUAGCAGUUGCUCCUCUGAACGCUGCAGCGAAGCAACCAGAAUGAGUCAGAAGUUUUAAACAUCCACAGGAAAAUGAUUUUAAUGUAUUCAAUAAAUAUGUCCAGAUUUAUCCAGAUUUGCAUCCCAAAUAAACAGGAAAGUGACAAUCUAACGUCAUUUUUGCAUCUAAACUAAUUAAAAAAGGUUCGCUACUUGAAAGAACAACAAUGAAUAGAAACCAGUUGAGUUGAUUUAUUGGUAAAAUGUCACUGCUGUGAUUUUCUUGUGUUUUAUUGAACAAACGUAUCAUUUUGUAUAAAAAUGGUGGCUUUUAAUGCAUGAAUGACUUUUUCUCCUGGUAAUAAAAAAGACAAAAAAAAAAACUUGCCCCACAAAGUUAAA